CCCUUAGACGUUCUGGGCCGCACGCGCGCUACACUGAACAGUUCGACAAGUCUUAACCUUGGCCGAUAGGUCUGGGUAAUCUUUGAACGCUGUUCGUGAUUGGGAUAGACCUUUGCAAUUAUGGGUCUUCAACGAGGAAUUCCUAGUAAACGCAAGUCAUCAGCUUGCAUUGAUUACGUCCCUGCCCUUUGUACACACCGCCCGUCGCACCUACCGAUUGAAUGGUCCGGUGAAAUCUCGGGACGGCGGCUUGGUCGCUUGCGUCCGACUGCUGAAACUUGAUUAAACCAUAUCAUUUAGAGGAAGGUGAAGUCGUAACA
rnacentral:rRNA from 1 species